rnacentral:lncRNA from 1 species
CCCUCUCUCUCUCUCUCUCUCUCUCUCUCUCUCUCUACCUGUCUCUCUCUCAUUCAUCUGAGAAGAACACAGCCCAGAAAUUUUAGUAUCCUCAUCACCCCCUUUUCAGGCCAAGCAAUACUCACCCCACCAGCUUCUGAAACUAGCAUGUUACCAUAUAUUUAUUCUUCUUCACCUUGAGUUAAAACACCCCAGGCCACCUCUCCCUCAUCCCUCUCCCAAGCUUAAAAAAAAAAGCAUCCAUCAAACCCCCAUGAAGAAGCUCACCCAACAGUGUUAAUUGAGCCCUGUUCAAACCCCCUUUCCCUCUUCGAUCCCCCUUUUGUAUCUCUCUCUCUCUCUCUCUCUCUUUCUAUCUCUCUCUAUGGACCACAGCUGCUGCUCGAAACUUGCAGUGAGCCAGCUUCCUCGCAUCUGACACUUUCCAAGCAGCUGGUAGCGCAGCAGCAGCCUCUGCUGCCGAUCCCGAUCAGAAAAACGGUAAUACCAACAACAUGGCAACAAAUUUAGAUCUCUCUCUUUCUCACACCCCC